GACGUUUUGAGCUGGGUGUAAGAUCCAGGUCGGGGAGAAGGAAGAUAGAAUUCCUCGGGAGACAGCCACAUGGUUCACAAAGUCACUGUCAACAGGCUGAGUAACAGAUUCAAACUUUGUGAUUGUGGAAUUGGAAAGUUGAAGAUCUGGAUCCAAGUCAUCUUGAGCUAACUUUGGUCCUUUCCGUGACUAGCAGUAUUCCUUCAUCUGACCUGACAUCCUUUGACCAGCAGGUUAAACUUUUAACAUGUGUUCCUGGCAGACGACUGGUAUCCACAAAUUCAAUAGCCGAGAAUGGCAGCAUUACGUGUCUGAAACCUAAGACAGGCUUCCCCUACUUUGCCUGGGAUUCCCACCAGUGAGAUUGAAAAGAAGUACUUGGCAUUAGCAAAGGCACUUGGAUAAUUUAAACAAACACACUCUUGACGGGAGGAUCAGAACUGAGUUCCCCACCCUGUCUCUUUGCUUACUGGGAACUUUCCUGCCAGCAUUUCAGAAGAGUCGAGAACAGGCCUACGUGAAUGCUCGCAUGUCCAUGCAAUCCUGUCCGUCUGGGCUCUCUGGCAGUCCUUACAUUCUUCAUCUUUUGACUGGAGCCCUGGUUGCAUCCAUGGGAGGACAGUAGAGGUGUGAACAAGACUACUUAAGAAAUAAGAGACUCUCUGAUGAUGGCACACUUUUUUAGUGUCCUAAGACUGUAAUUCUUCAGCGGCAAUUUUAAAAGCUCCCCAACCUGCAUCUUUAGA
rnacentral:sRNA from 1 species